AGGGGAUCUUCGGACCUUUCGCUAUGAGAUGAGCCUGCGUUAGAUUAGCUAGUUGGUAGGGUAAAGGCCUACCAAGGCGACGAUCUAUAGCUGGUCUGAGAGGACGAUCAGCCACACUGGGACUGAGACACGGCCCAGACUCCUACGGGAGGCAGCAGUGGGGAAUAUUGGACAAUGGGCGAAAGCCUGAUCCAGCAAUACCGCGUGUGUGAAGAAGGCCUUAGGGUUGUAAAGCACUUUCAAUUGGGAGGAAAACCUGCCGGCCAAUACCCGGUAGCUUGACAUUACCUUUAGAAGAAGCACCGGCUAACUCCGUGCCAGCAGCCGCGGUAAUACGGAGUGUGCGAGCGUUAAUCGGAAUUACUGGGCGUAAAGCGUGCGUAGGCGGCUCGUUAAGUCAGAUGUGAAAGCCCUGGGCUCAACCUGGGAACGGCAUUUGAAACUGGCGAGCUAGAGUUUGGGAGAGGAGAGUGGAAUUUCAGGUGUAGCGGUGAAAUGCGUAGAUAUCUGAAGGAACACCAGUGGCGAA
rnacentral:rRNA from 1 species